CUUGACUUGACGAGUCCCAAAUAGGAUGAAACAGCUGUCAAG
rnacentral:hammerhead_ribozyme from 1 species